CCCAGUAUACUAUGCUCUUUAAGGAAUAUA
rnacentral:piRNA from 1 species